rnacentral:lncRNA from 1 species
GCCCCUUCAACCAGAUCACUUCCGCUGAAAGUUUGCAUCUCCCAGUAUCAGUGUUGGGGAAGCCAAAUGAAAUCUAUCAAUCCCAGUUCAGAAUGUAAAGAAACUGAAGAUCCUCUUUCCCCAUAUGGAUUAUUAUAUCAUCAUAGCAUUUGGAGAAGCCAAGAUCAACAAAAAAGCAGUUAGCAGUGAGAGAAGCUGCAGCCUGUUGAGACUCCACAAGACUGAAGAUAUGAAAAGAGGAAAUAUGCAUGAAUGCCCGCACGGAGAACCACCCCCACCUGCUGCUCCCGCUCUAAUGAUCACGCCCAUUAUCAACUGGGGGAUGGCUCUGUGCCUUGUCCUUGCAUUACAUGGACCAAGAACACUUCACAGGACUCAGAGAGGAACCCGAAAGGAAGAAGCUAUACGACUGGGGACACAUGUCUUAGAAGCACACUCAUUAGAUAAAGUGUCGCAUACUCUUUGAUAAGUGACUCAGAACACCCGUGUCCUUCCCAACAUUGGAUGCAAUGCUAAAGACAUGAUGUUGCUCCUGCUGGACCACACCUUGAAGGAAUUGCCUACCCCACCUCACCUCCAAAAUUAAAGUCUUUCGUUUUGACAAAAGUUAAUGAUAAGGUUUGAUGUGCUAAUUUCAGCACCUCCACUUCAUGUCUACACUGUGGACAUAUACUUUUUUGUUGUUUUGGGGUUUUU